AAACCUGAGAAACCCGAAAGAUCGAAUGGGAAGAUUCAGCGUCAGCGGCGUUGGCUCGGCGGAUAGUGCGUCGUUUCGGACUUCGGUCCUGAGACGGCGUAAUCUUUCCAUGCCUUGUUCGGCGUCGUCGUCGUGCACUUCUUCCCUAGUAGAACGUCGCGACCCGUUGGGUGCCGGUCUACGGUCCGAGUGGUAGACUGUCGCGUCGCUUCGGCGCACGCGACAGACCCUCGGUCACCCGGCCGGCUGCCCGGCGGUCGAACUUAUAAGGUAUCUUGCCGCAAUCAUUUGAACUGCGUCGGGCCCGUCGCAAGCGCGGCCAGUGUCUUCUCGGAGGUACGGACCCGGUGCCGUCCCCGAGCCUGGCCAGCUGUUGGCAGACGGAGUCCUUUGACCGGCAAUACACAAAAUUGAUACCGGUCUGCGACGCUACUGCUUUGGGUACUCUCAGGACCCGUCUUGAAACACGGACCAAGGAGUCUAACAUGUGCGCAAGUCAUUGGGACUGCGAAGCCUAAAGGCGAAAUGAAAGUGAAGGUCGUACCGUAAGGUCGACAGAGGGAGGAUGGGCCGUGUCUGGGCGCGGCUCCGCACUCCCGGGGCGUCUCGUUCUCAUUGCGAGAAGAGGCGCACCCAGAGCGUACACGUUGGGACCCGAAAGAUGGUGAACUAUGCCUGGUCAGGACGAAGUCAGGGGAAACCCUGAUGGAGGUCCGUAGCGAUUCUGACGUGCAAAUCGAUCGUCGGAACUGGGUAUAGGGGCGAAAGACUAAUCGAACCAUCUAGUAGCUGGUUCCCUCCGAAGUUUCCCUCAGGAUAGCUGGCACUCGUUCGUUCUAAUUGAACGUUAACGAGUCUCAUCUGGUAAAGCGAAUGAUUAGAGGCCUUGGGGCCGAAACGACCUCAACCUAUUCUCAAACUUUAAAUGGGUGAGAUCUCUGGCUUGCUUGAACUAUGAAGCCACGAGAGAUAUGAAAAUAAUAACGGAUCAGAGUGCCAAGUGGGCCAAUUUU
rnacentral:rRNA from 1 species